UCCGAUGAUGGCAUGAUAUCUUUGAGACCUGAUAUUUUCAUAUUUUGAUGACAACUAUAAGCAUUUACGCUGAGGAU
rnacentral:snoRNA from 2 species